rnacentral:rRNA from 1 species
GUGGGGAAUAUUGCACAAUGGGCGCAAGCCUGAUGCAGCCAUGCCGCGUGUGUGAAGAAGGCCUUCGGGUUGUAAAGCACUUUCAGCGGGGAGGAAGGCGAUAAGGUUAAUAACCUUGUCGAUUGACGUUACCCGCAGAAGAAGCACCGGCUAACUCCGUGCCAGCAGCCGCGGUAAUACGGAGGGUGCAAGCGUUAAUCGGAAUUACUGGGCGUAAAGCGCACGCAGGCGGUCUGUCAAGUCGGAUGUGAAAUCCCCGGGCUCAACCUGGGAACUGCAUUCGAAACUGGCAGGCUAGAGUCGUGUAGAGGGGGGUAGAAUUCCAGGUGUAGCGGUGAAAUGCGUAGAGAUCUGGAGGAAUACCGGUGGCGAAGGCGGCCCCCUGGACAAAGACUGACGCUCAGGUGCGAAAGCGUGGGGAGCAAACAGGAUUAGAUACCCCGGUAGUCC